AUUGCCUCAAAUGGUUUUAACAUUGUCACUGUUCUACUAUUCUAUUCUUUGUACAAUGCGAUUAGUAUAGCCCACCAAUUUAAUUGCGUUCAUUACCCGAGUGGGCUGAGGCGUCAACCUCCGAAUUCGCGGAUCAGGGAUUGUAAUCCCGUUAACGCUGUCAAGUAAUCAAAAACUAAUGCGGAUAAUAUAGAAGAUAAAAAUGGGAGACACCUCUUUAACGAUAGUAAUAGAUAAGUAGACAUUUCUAAUGGAUAAGCAAAGCAUAAUUAUCUUUAUGGCCUUAUGGUAACUAUCUAUGGCGUAAGUAUUAACAGCAUGCAAAGAGUGUCAUUCUUCAGAAGACUAUUUUCUGUAUAAUUCGUAUAGAAGAAGUCAAGUACAUUGCAGAAAACUUUUCUCGGAAUAUAAGAUCCUACCAUUUCAUCGUACGGGUAUAUUUGAGACAUUCCUGGGUAUCAUAAAGUUGUAAUCUAUAGGAAAACUCGCUCUGAGAUUCACUGUUAUACCACCAACGGUGAGGAGCCCCUUAUUGUUUCAUCUCAUGUGUAUAGCAGGAUGAGCAUUUGUCAGAUGCCUCUAGGAAAAGUUAUAAUUAUGUUUUUACCAUGAAAUCACCUUUUUAAAAGAAACAUUUCCUUACGUUAUCAAACCCCUUCAUGCUUUAGUUUUGAAAAUAAAAUAAUAGUAGAAUUUUAAAGUUUUAAAAUCAAAAUUCUUUUUUCUCUUACAACAUAAAAUUUUUCUGUGGUUUUUUGCAAACAUUAAGAAAUACUACACAAGAUAUUUUUAAAUCUCGCAAAUUAAGUUUUCAAAUACAGAAGUUUCACGUAUUUUAAGAGACACUAGCACGAUUUUUUUUUGAAUGAACCUCACCUCACCUGGUAGUAAUGAGUGUUAAAUAAUACAUUACAACUAUUUCUAUAUAAAAAUUACACUAUCCAAGCAAAUAAUCCAGUAAUUAUUAACAAUAAUUGAUAAUUAUGAAUAUUAUUAGUAAUUUUCAUAAAUUAUAACUAAUCAAAAGUGAAAAAAGGAAUUCGGAUAGGUACCACAAGUUUAUUUGAAUUUGAUUCUUUGUUUUUUACACAUAUUAUUGUUUUUCUAGUUAUCACUUCAUCGACACAUUUGCUUCCUACGAGAACCUAUUUGUGCUGUAAUAUGCGACAAGUCGGUGUGUGUUCGUUCACUCAGUUUAUAUCUAGAUGAAUUUUUCUUUUUUUGUUUAUAAUAAAUUAGAUAAUUUCAAAGUUGUUGUUAUACAAUUCAGUAACAACGAUAUUUCUUCUGUAUUUUAUAGUGAAUCAAAAUGAGACAAAUCCCCAAUUUGUUGAAUGUGACAGAUUUGUAUUGAAAGUGAAAAGUAAAAAAAAAUUUCAAUGACAGCAAAAGAUAUAACAUUAUGUCAUAAUGUGUUAGAAAAACCAACAAAUUUUUCUGGGAUAAGCAUUAGCGUGGCUUGGUGAUUUUAAUUUAAUUAAUACAUUUUUUUAAAUAAAUGGAAAUAUGGCGUUCUUCAGACCAUUGACGAAUGAAGACAAUGAAAUUGCACAGUGUAGUAAGAAUGAAGAUAGCAUAUAUUCGAAUGUUUAUAAAAGGGAUAUAUUCAGCAAUCUGAUAAUGAAAUCAUAAUAAGAAUUGCUUAAUUAACUAGAGUUAAUAAAUGUUCAAUUUAUCGAGUAGUCACGACAGGGGUUGCUGUGCACAGAACCGAAAAACAUGUGAAGAAAAACUGAAAUCAGUUGACCAAAAUACAAUUAUACCAGAUAAGAAACAUUGCGUCAAGUUUUGUCAGCAUGUGGUUCUAAAUACAAAAAAACUGAUUAAACGGAUGGCAAUGACCAAAUCGUCAAUGAUAGUUUGAUGGCAACAAGAUUAUUUGCGUCAGAUAAAAUACUACUAAAGUUCUAAUGGACACAUAAUUUAUCUAGAUGAAAGAUGGUUUGACAGGAUGUAGUAAUUUUCGGUUCGGUUGACAACAGUAAAAAUUGCUAUUUGAAUGGGCUAUGUUCUAUUCCUAUUCCUGUCAGCUAUCGUAAAGAAGGCGCAACAAACAAAGAAUUGCUUACUGUUAUUAAAGGUCUAAAUUUAGAGGAAAUUUAUUAUAUUAGCUGUGCAAAGAACAGGGUCAUACUUAUCUCAGACCACCUCCUUACUAUUGCAUAUUUAAUCCUAUACAGUUAAUAUGGGUAAACGAGAUACUUUGGAAUUGAAAUGUUUUUUUUAUUUUGUUUUAUUUGUAAAGAAUUUUUUUAUGGUUUGGUUAGGUUAGGUGAAAUUUUAUAUUUAAAACAUAUUAUGAAAUAGACAGUCACAACUGAAGAAUAUAGUGAAAAUGAUUUAUUGUUUUCAUUAUAUUAUUAUUAAUACAAUGUAGUAUUUUCUAUUUCUCAUAUAUUUUUUCAAAACAUUAAAAAAAUUAAGAAAAGUACUUGCUUAGCCUCACUAUGACAGAUAGAAUAUAAAUCAAAUGUAAAAAUUUCUUCUUAAAGACGCUUUUCGUCCCUUUUUCCCCUAUCCCAUAUAAAUAGUUAUAAUAUAUUUAACACUGUUCUUCCCUGUCAAAAACUUAGGAAAAAAUAUACGUUAUAGAGCAUAAUGAGGUUCAUUUACAAAAAAAUCUUUCCAGUGUCUCUUAAAAUAUGUGAAAUUUCUGUUUGCAAUAUUUCAUUAUGUAAAUCACUACGAAGACUUAAAAAUAUUUUGUAUAAUACUUUUUUCCAAAAUUCUACUUAUUCUUUUUUAAACUAAGUUAUGACACCACACGCAGGAGAAUAUUUCUCUUAAGAAGGUGAUUUCAUGAUAAAAAAUUAUUAUUAUAACUUUCCGAGGGGCUUCUGACUCAUGCUUAUCCUGCCAUACUUAAAAUGUGCAAUUUUUCUUUAGGUUGAAGAUUAUAAGCUCUUCAAUUUGUAUUCUUACCGUUAUACGAAUGCUUAUUCAUUAUUUUCUUCAUGCUACUUAACCAUUUAAAUGUUAUAUUAGUUUUGGUUCAAAUUGAUUUGGCUUUUUAAUACAAGGAUUUAGUAUGUUCCAGCAUUCAGCAACAUUUUUUUUGUAAUAUUGCGUAAAAAUAAUAUGGGUAUAUUCACCAUAAUUCAAAGAUUGUUAGUAAUAACGUAGUGUAGAAAUUUUAAAUUUUUUUCAAUAUGUUUAUCUAUAAUGUUCUAAUUAUUCCCUUAGGUGAACUGAAUUGAACAUUGAACAAGAAUAUUCUGCAGUUUUUUUAUUGCUAUUAUUAAAUAUAGUUUAAACUGCACCGGAAAAACCAAAUGCUAAAAUAAAAUUCCAAGCCAACAUGCAUGUUAUUAUCAAGUUUGGUUGGAUCUACGUAUCACAUCACUCACGAAGUCUCUCAGAGUUGUACAGCACUUUCAACGCUUGAAAAAUACUGUGACGGAUCGACAUUGCGCGCCAUCUAUCGAAGUCAGUAAUAUAAUGAUAGCUAUAGUAAGAAGGGUACAUAGCCGCACGCCAUUUAAGGACACCGAUCAUAAUUUAAUGUAAUGGAAAUUAUUAAAGAUGGCAGUUGGCUCCAUAUAUUACUCGGUAGCAAUGAACUAGAAUAUGAUAUUUCCAACGAAGUUAACUGUAACUGGACAGAAGUUAUCCAUUAAUAGUCACUUUAGAAAGUUUCUACCAUGUUCUAGAACUAUUGCAAGACCAUACAUAAGGCAGGAUCUUACAGCAUAGCAGUUAGUUGGAUACUGAAGAAAUGCGGUCAUUCAGUAAAUACAAUAAAACCAUGUAACUGUUAAAAGCACGCGCUGUUAACUACAGUUUGCUGAAGAUGACAACAGGGAAGCGUUGAGAGACUCGAGUCGGAGAAGCCAAAGCAAGGUGUGACACUCAAAUGGGAGAUCUGAAACCGAGUUUUGUUUACUUCUUAGACAUGGUAGUUGACGCUGCAAGCGCUAAUUUAAAUUUUUUUGCAAAGACAAUCAGCUGACUAAUGAAUUGUUCUGUGUAAUCGAUGAUACAACCAAUCAAUAAACAUAUCGUCUGCUAGCAUGUGGCUGCUCU